rnacentral:rRNA from 1 species
UGGGGAAUAUUGGACAAUGGGCGGAAGCCUGAUCCAGCCAUGCCGCGUGUGUGAAGAAGGCCUUUUGGUUGUAAAGCACUUUAAGCGAGGAGGAGGCUACUUGGAUUAAUACUCUAGGAUAGUGGACGUUACUCGCAGAAUAAGCACCGGCUAACUCUGUGCCAGCAGCCGCAGUAAUACAGAGGGUGCGAGCGUUAAUCGGAUUUACUGGGCGUAAAGCGUGCGUAGGCGGCUUCUUAAGUCGGAUGUGAAAUCCCUGAGCUUAACUUAGGAAUUGCAUUCGAUACUGGGAAGCUAGAGUAUGGGAGAGGAUGGUAGAAUUCCAGGUGUAGCGGUGAAAUGCGUAGAGAUCUGGAGGAAUACCGAUGGCGAAGGCAGCCAUCUGGCCUAAUACUGACGCUGAGGUACGAAAGCAUGGGGAGCAAACAGG